rnacentral:rRNA from 1 species
CAAUAGCGUAUAUUUAAGUUGCUGCAGUUAAAAAGCUCGUAGUUGGAUUUCGGGUGGGAAUGGCCGGUCCGCCGUUUCGGUGUGCACUUGCUACGCCCACCUUGCUGCCGGGGACGUGCUCUUGAGUUCACGCUCGGGACACGGAGUCGGCGAGGUUACUUUGAGUAAAUUAGAGUAUUCAAAGCAGGCCUACGCUCUGAAUACAUUAGCAUGGAAUAACACGAUAGGACUCUGGCCUAUCUUGUUGGUCUGUAGGACCGGAGUAAUGAUUAAGAGGGACAGUCGGGGGCAUUCGUAUUUCAUUGUCAGAGGUGAAAUUCUUGGAUUUAUGAAAGACGAACUACUGCGAAAGCAUUUGCCAAGGAUGUUUUCAUUAA